rnacentral:rRNA from 1 species
UGGGGAAUAUUGGACAAUGGGCGCAACCCUGAUCCAGCCAUGCCGCGUGUGUGAAGAAGGCCUUAUGGUUGUAAAGCACUUUAAGCGAGGAGGAGGCUACUUUAGUUAAUACCUAGAGAUAGUGGACGUUACUCGCAGAAUAAGCACCGGCUAACUCUGUGCCAGCAGCCGCGGUAAUACAGAGGGUGCAAGCGUUAAUCGGAUUUACUGGGCGUAAAGCGCGCGUAGGUGGUUCGUUAAGUUGAAGGUGCAAGCCCCGGGCUCAACCUGGGAACUGCAUCCAAAACUGGCGAGAGAGAGUAGGGCAGAGGGUGGUGGAAUUUCCUGUGUAGCGGUGAAAUGCGUGGAUAUAGGAAGGAACACCAGUGGCGAAGGCGACCACCUGGGGUCCUACUGACACUGAGGUGCGAAAGCGUGGGGAGCAAACAGG